AUUAUGUAAAGCUGGAAUUUUUGCGGUCCUUGUCUCUCUUCAAGCUAACAGGAGUAGAGACCGUUGGCUUUGUUUGGAGUAAUUCAGCAUUAGCUUUCUUCAUGUUAAACAGAGCUAUUUCUUCCUCUAGAGCUUUUCGCUUCUUCUCUAAUUUCUGUUUCUCUUCUUGAUGCAUUAGCAUAAGAUGUUCAAACUUAGCCUGUAUCCGUUGCUCUGCUUCUUUCAAUACUGCUUCUUUCUCCUUCACUCUCUGCACAAAUUUCUGCCUCAUCUCCUCCUCUCUUCGUUGCAGCUCAAGGUAGAACUCGCGCCUCUUUGUCUCAUAGGCUUCCUGUAGACUUACUGGCUUGUUCUCAGGGUCAAUGUCUCUGAAGCCCAUCUCCUGCAGUCUGCGGCGCCUGUACAGCUCAUAAUGGCAUGCGUGAGUCUGCUCUAUUAAAUCUUCCAUAUUUGUGCAAAUAAGCAUCUCACGGAGCUUCACAAAGUCACAGUGGUUCUCAUUUUCCACUUGUACAGUGCCCCAAGGGUACUGACGAGCUUUCACCAUUUUGUUUCCAAUUUUCACCUCUUCUGUACUUCCC
rnacentral:lncRNA from 1 species